UUUACAAAGAAAAAACAUAGUCUCACAUAGCCAUCUAGAAUUCAUAUUUGCUUAUAAUUUAUUAUGUCAUUCUUAUGCAUGAUCAUCCGGGUAUCACAUCAUCAUAUGUGCUAUGUGCAAAAGUGCAUAAUUUUUAAUGACAUUUAAUGUCCAAUAACAGCUCUUGGUUUUGUGUUGCACAGCACCUUUCUUCUUUCGAGCUUCUCGUCUCUUUAUUCUCCUCUGCACAAUAAUGACUUCAAUUCUAUACAAGGUUUCCUAUUUUGUGCUAAUCCCAUUGUGUGAUUCUUCUCCUUUGUGGAAGAAGGGAAGGGGAUUUUAUUUUCUAGGGUAAGGAAGAAGUGGAUUUUGUUUUCUAGGGUAAGGAAGAAAGGGGUUUUGGUUUCAUAAGAGAAAUUGAGUAACAAACGUGAAUCAAAGCAAGUGGAACGCAUAUUUGAGGAUUGAUGAAAGAGAUCUGCAACCAUGAUAUGAUGGUGGGUCAAAUGGGGUGGAGAAAUAGGCUGGUUGCGGUGGUCUUGCAAGGGUUAGAAGAUGAAGAUACCUCUGUGCAUGAUGUUGGGUUUGGUGAGGAGUUUUUUCUGAAUAGAGAUGUAAGAUCAGGUUCUCAGGUUUACAUAAUAGAAAAAUUAAACUUAUUUAUAUCCAAGGGCUCAAGGUUGAAGUAGUGAUUGAAACAAUUAUUUUGCAUAUAAUUAAUGUGGAAGAAGUCAUCACCAUUUGAUGUAGUCUUUCCUAGCGCCGCCCAUUGAGGCUAAUAAUGUACUGGGGCAUUUGCAGCAAUGGCUAUAUUGGGAAAGUUGGGUCAUUUAUUGACACUAAAAGGACUGUCAAUCACAUUGGCACCAUUAGGGGCAGUUUUUGCUCUCCUCUUUGCCUCUCUCUCAGUCCCUUCUGCCCGAAUACUACUAUUACUACUAUCUCUUUUUAGGCCUUACUGUGACAAAUAACAAUGAUGCAGUCUGUAAAUUGAGUGAGUUUGUUAAAUACCUCCAUAAAUGCUUCUUUAAUUGUGAUUAUGCAGAAGUACAAUAUGAUGAUGGCCCAAAUAGGUUGUGCAGCCAUUGGUGUUUUGGCGUUUACAAUAUUUGAACCUGGAUUACUAGCCAAGAGUUCUAGUCUUGUGUUGAAUUUAUUAUCUUAGGUCUGUGACAUCAUUGGGCUUAAUUUCAAAUACAACUUAUUGUAUUGUCGCAAAGAGUUAUGGUUUACAUAAGAUUCUCCUCUUUACUAGGUUUAAGACACAAUCCUUCACGCUAAGAUUCUUCUGCGGUUUAUGUCAUUGAAGGAGCUUGAACGUGCUAGAUAUUAGCGUACCUUGGUGUCUAUUUUCUAUCUCUAGUAAACUCAGUUGAUGAUACCGAUCCCUAAAUUUAUCCACGUUAGAUGAAUCCAAUUCUUCACAAAAACAUUUGCAGAGUAGGUUGUGAAUAAUUCCACAUUAGGUUGUGGAAUUAUGAAGAACUAUUCUUUUAUUAUCUGGGGCAUUUACUGCAAUGGCCAUACUGGGAAAGUUGGAUCAGUUAUUGGCACCAAAAGGACUGGCAAUCACAUUGGCACCAUUAGGGGCAGUUUUUUGCUCUCCUAUUUGUCUCUCUUUUAACCCCUUCUGCCGGGAUACUACUACUGCUGCCAUCUCUUUUUAGGCCUUAUUGUGACAAAUAUCAUUGAUGCGGUGUGUAAGUUGAGUUUGAGUUUGUUAAAUAGCUCCAUAUAUGGUUUUCUUUAAUUGUGAUUAUGCAGAAGUACAAUAUGUUGAUGGCCGAAAUAGGUUGUGCAGCCAUUGGUGUUUUGGCGUUUAUAAUAUUUGGAGUUCUAGUCUUGCAGCUUGUGUUGAAAUUUAUUACCUUAGGUCUGUGACAUCUUUGGUGUGUGUGUUUUCUUUAAUUAUCAUAUGGCUAAAUCUUGAAAUUUUAGUUUGAUUUUAGUUUAGAUUGGUUUAAACUAGUUUCUCAA